GGAGGGGUGGCAGAGCGGACGAAUGCGACGGUCUUGAAAACCGUUGAGGUGCAAGCCUCCGCGGGUUCGAAUCCCGCCCCCUCCGCCA
rnacentral:tRNA from 1 species